CGCCUGUUUAUUAAAAACAUAGUUUUUAUAUUUAAUUAAAAAUUUAAUCUGCCCAUUGAAUAAUUUUUAAAGGCCGCAAUAUUUUAAUUGUGCUAAGGUAGCAUAAUAAUUAGGUUUAUAAUUUAAAUCUAGAAUGAAAGAUUAAAUGAAAAAAUAUCUUUUUUAUUUUUAUUAUUUUAAUUUUAUAUUUAAGUUAAAAAGCUUAAAUUUAUAAAUUAGACGAGAAGACCCUAUAGAAUUUAAUUAAUAUUUAUAUAUAUAUUAUAUAUAUAUAUAAUUAAUUUGGUUGGGGAGAUUUUAAAAUUUAAUAAACUUUUAUAAAAAUUUCAUUAAUUUUUGUUUAAUUGAUCUUAUUAUAUAGAUUUUUAAUUUAAAUUACCUUAGGGAUAACAGCAUAAUUUUAAAAAAAAGUACUUAUUUUUUUUAAUGUUUAUGACCUCGAUGUUGGAUUAAAUGAAUUUUAAUUGAAGAUAAUUAAUUAAUUUAGUCUGUUCGACUAAUAGA
rnacentral:rRNA from 1 species